AUGGUGCUGCCCAGACUGCUGAAACUGGUCAUGUUGUCCAUGUGGCUGGGAUCCAGUUUUGCCCAGAAGGUGACUCAGGCCCAGCCAGCCAUGUGGGUGCAGGAGAAGGAAGCUGUGAGCCUGCACUGCUCCUAUGACACCAGUGCUGGAAGUUAUGGUCUCCUCUGGUACAAGCAGCCCAGCAGUGGGGAGAUGGUCUUCCUCAUCCUUCAGAACUCUUACAGCCAGCAAAAUGCCACAGAAGGUCGCUACUUAGUGCAUUUGCAGAAGGCAAGCAAAUCCAUCCAGCUUGUCAUCUCAGCCUCGCAGCUGGGGGACUCGGCAGCAGCAGAUUGGAGCUCAGUAGUACCUCCCUCACCCUAUCAGCCUGCCCACCCAGUACAGAGCCCUGGAGUCAAAGAAAAAUUUCUUCUGAAGGAAGAAGGCAAACAUGGUGCUACCCAGACUGCUGAAACUGGUCAUGUUGUCCAUGUGGCUGGGAUCCAGUUUUGCCCAGAAGGUGACUCAGGCCCAGCCAGCCAUGUGGGUGCAGGAGAAGGAGGCUGUGAGCCUGCUCUGCUCCUAUGA